CAUGCAAGUCGUACGAGAGUUUUUAACUCUAGUGGCGGACGGGUGAGUAACACGUGAGAAUUUGCCUUUAGGAGGGGGAUAACAAUUGGAAACGAAUGCUAAUACCCCAUAUGCUUUCGAGUGAAAUGGAUUUAUAUUUAUCCGCCUAGAGAGAAGCUCGCGGCUGAUUAGCUUGUUGGUAAGGUAAGAGCUUACCAAGGCGACGAUCAGUAUCUGGUUUGAGAGGACGAUCAGACACACUGGAACUGAGACACGGUCCAGACUCCUACGGGAGGCAGCAGUGGGGAAUUUUCCGCAAUGGGCGAAAGCCUGACGGAGCAAUACCGCGUGAGGGAAGACUGCCUAUGGGUUGUAAACCUCUUUUUUCAGGGAGGAAUAAAAUGACGUGUACCUGAAGAAUAAGCAUCGGCUAACUCCGUGCCAGCAGCCGCGGUAAGACGGAGGAUGCAAGUGUUAUCCGGAAUCACUGGGCGUAAAGCGUCUGUAGGUGGUUUGAUAAGUCAACUGUUAAAUCUUGAGGCUCAACUUCAAAAUCGCAGUCGAAACUAUUAGACUAGAGUAUAGUAGAGGUAAAGGGAAUUUCCAGUGGAGCGGUGAAAU
rnacentral:rRNA from 1 species